GGGAAUCAGAGAAGGCAGUUGAGAGGGGGACCAGAGAAAAGAAAUGGUGUGGAGAAGCCUGGGGCUCCUGCUCUUGGUCUAGGUUCCUUUGCAGACUCUGCAUCUCAGAGAGGGAUGCUAACUUUGGAUCUGAACUGACUCCUGGCCUGGGGUGUGUUUCUUGCUUCCUUCCUUCAGAAUCCUCAUCCAGUGGCCAUCCAGCUCCCGACCCCCAUAGAAUUUCCAUGGAAAACUUGGGUUUGGAUGAAGACCUACUAUUGUUUUUUGGAGCCUCCAGCACAGAACUGGGCAACCUCCAGACAGCACUUCGGAGCAGGAGCCCCGCUCUGCCUACCAAGCCAGACUGUGAAAGCCACAAUCUUCAAGAAUGCUCCGCCUCUGCUAUUAGUCUUGAGGCAUUUCACCCAAAGAGCCAAGUUUAAAAGCUAAAAUGUCAGUGACAGUUUCUUAAUUUCAACUCUAGAAAACUUACAGAGUAAAUGUAUGAUAAGAGUGUUUAAAAACAGCACUUUGUUUUUCUGAUGAUAAAAUAACUGUUGACAGGCAGAUAAAAAUGGGAGUUAGGUACACAUUCUGAGGUUGGGGACCUGGGUUUGUGUUUGAGAGUGAGAGUGAGAAAGGGGCCAAGUGACCUUUUUUUUUUUAAACAGUAA
rnacentral:lncRNA from 1 species